AGCUCCCAAGGGUUGGGCUGUUCGCCCAUUAACGCGGUACCUGAGCUGGGUUCAGACCGUCGUGAGACAGGUCGGUCUCUAUCCGCUGUGGGCGUAGGGGAUUUGAGAGGAGCUGCUCCUAGUACGAGAGGACCGGAGUGGACAGACCUCUGGUGUGUCAGUUGUCGUGCCAACGGCAUCGCUGAGUAGCUAAGUCUGGCAAGGAUAACCGCUGAAAGCAUCUAAGUGGGAAGCCUGCCUCAAGAUUAGAUCCCCCACCUCUUAAUGAGGGUAAGUGCGCUGGAAGACUACCAGCUUGAUAGGCGAGGCGUGUACGCGCAGUAAUGCGUUUAGCGGACUCGUACUAAUGCACGAGGGCUUUCUACGC
rnacentral:rRNA from 1 species